UUGUGGGACUCCUAACAGCAGGAGCAGGAUUUGCCUCUGAUUCUGUUGCCUGCCUUUUGGAUCCUUUCC
rnacentral:miRNA from 1 species